CUCUUGGAUGGACCUGCGGUGCAUUAGCUAGUUGGUAGGGUAACGGGCCGUACCAAGGCGAUGAUGCAUAGCCCGAGUUGAGAGACUGAUCGGCCACAUUGGGGACUGAGACACGGGCCCAAACUCCUACGGGAGGCAGCAGUAGGGAAUCUUCCACAAUGGACGCAAGUCUGAUGGAGCAAACGCCGCGUGAGUGAAGAAGGGUUUCGGCUCGUAAAAAGCUCUGUUGUUGGUGAAGAAGGACAGGGGUAGUAACUGACCCUUUGUUUGACGGUAAUCAAUUAGAAAGUCACGGGCUAACUACGUGCCAGCAGCCGCGGUAAAU
rnacentral:rRNA from 1 species